rnacentral:rRNA from 1 species
CCUACGGGAGGCAGCAGUGGGGAAUCUUGCGCAAUGGGCGAAAGCCUGACGCAGCCAUGCCGCGUGAAUGAUGAAGGUCUUAGGAUUGUAAAAUUCUUUCACCGAGGACGAUAAUGACGGUACUCGGAGAAGAAGCCCCGGCUAACUUCGUGCCAGCAGCCGCGGUAAUACGAAGGGGGCUAGCGUUGCUCGGAAUUACUGGGCGUAAAGGGAGCGUAGGCGGAUAGUUUAGUCAGAGGUGAAAGCCCAGGGCUCAACCUUGGAAUUGCCUUUGAUACUGGCUAUCUUGAGUACGGAAGAGGUAUGUGGAACUCCGAGUGUAGAGGUGAAAUUCGUAGAUAUUCGGAAGAACACCAGUGGCGAAGGCGACAUACUGGUCCGUUACUGACGCUGAGGCUCGAAAGCGUGGGGUAGCAAACAGGAUUAGAUACCCUGGUAGUCCACGCUGUAAACGAUGAGUGCUAGUUGUCGGCAUGCAUGCAUGUCGGUGACGCAGCUACGCAUAAGACACUCCGCCGUCGGGUAGGUACGGUCGCGAGAAUUAAAACUUAAAGUAGAAGUUAGACGGCGUGAGACGUGCCGACGGACGACGACGAGGGAGGUUAGG